AUUGAACGCUGGCGGAAUGAUUUACACAUGCAAGUCGAACGGUAGAGGGGGCAACCCCUCGAGAGUGGCGAACGGGUGAGUAAUAUAUCGGAACGUGCCCAGUCGUGGGGGAUAACGUAGCGAAAGUUACGCUAAUACCGCAUACGAUCUAAGGAUGAAAGCGGGGGAUCGCAAGACCUCGCGCGAUUGGAGCGGCCGAUAUCAGAUUAGGUAGUUGGUGGGGUAAAGGCUCACCAAGCCAACGAUCUGUAGCUGGUCUGAGAGGACGACCAGCCACACUGGAACUGAGACACGGUCCAGACUCCUACGGGAGGCAGCAGUGGGGAAUUUUGGACAAUGGACGCAAGUCUGAUCCAGCCAUUCCGCGUGCAGAUGAAGGCCCUCGGGUUGUAAACUGCUUUUGUACGGAACGAAAAGGUCUCUCUUAAUACGGGGGGCUCAUGACGGUACCGUAAGAAUAAGCACCGGCUAACUACGUGCCAGCCGCCGCCGUAA
rnacentral:rRNA from 1 species